rnacentral:lncRNA from 1 species
AGGACUGAAGUGGUGGUGGAGUUGGAAAUGGGGAUGAUGCCGAGGCCGCCUUCCAUGAAGGAGACGAUGAAACGGCUGUUGGGGGCGUCGUAUUUGGAGCAUUCUCGGAGGAAGCCGGAGGAGUGGAAGUGGUACUGGUGGGAGGAAGGUGUGGCGGAUUCUAGAGAGAUGAGAAUGGCUAUGGGGAUGACGGAGAUUAGGAGGGUCAGGAGGACGAAUCUCGUUGAACACAAGAAACCCAUCGGAGAGAUUUCGAGAGAGAGAGAGAUUUUGAGAGAGAUGGGCUGAGCAGUUGAGUGAUAGGAGAAUGGGGGGAGAAUGGGAGGGAAUAAAUAAUACUAUGGCUGGCAUAAAUUUUAACGAUAAACAUAAUUUAACCGGCUCCCUCUCAUUUCUAACCAAUUUAUUCAACCACUUUUCAAAACUAACCAGUUUUUUUUCGAGAAAACGCGACCUGAACGAAAAACUUUUUACAGCACGGGUCGCGCUUUGAAACAGCGACCCAAACACAAAAAACCCCAUUGGGGUCGCUCUUUCAAAGAGAGACCCAUGCUGUAAAAAGUUCCAUAUGGGUCGCCCUUUGAAAGAGCGACCCAUAUGGGUUAUUUUAAAAAAAAAAAAUAAACGCCAAAUCAGGAAUCAUGAGUGGCAGAUGAAAACAACAGGAGGAUCUUUAAAGCUCAUUUCAAGUAUGUAAUAAAUAUACACACCUAUCCAAUUUGGUACUAAAUAAAUAAUUAAAUAUUAAGAAUAAUAAUAAUACCUGGACCACUUAGUUGAGUUAAAAACAAGCGAGACCAAUCAGAGAGAUCAUAAGCAGCAACAGCGCUGUACUUGUUCCCCAACAAGUCCGAUAUGACUACCACGACGCGGUUCCUCUUGCUGUCAAUGGUGAGACCCAGAGUUGCAUUUGUGUAUAAAUCGGCGUCUUUGACGACGGGAAUCUCGGGGAGGACUGAAGUGGUGGUGGAGUUGGAAAUGGGGAUGAUGCCGAGGCCGCCUUCCAUGAAGGAGACGAUGAAACGGCUGUUGGGGGCGUCGUAUUUGGAGCAUUCUCGGAGGAAGCCGGAGGAGUGGAAGUGGUACUGGUGGGAGGAAGGUGUGGCGGAUUCUAGAGAGAUGAGAAUGGCUAUGGGGAUGACGGAGAUUAGGAGGGUCAGGAGGACGAAUCUCGUUGAACACAAGAAACCCAUCGGAGAGAUUUCGAGAGAGAGAGAGAUUUUGAGAGAGAUGGGCUGAGCAG